rnacentral:rRNA from 1 species
AUGGGGAUCAGUCCAUCGUCGUUGCGACCCCCAUGGAGCUCGCGGCGGGCCGCCACGAAGGCCGCGCCCCCUGCUGCGACCGAGGGCGGCGGCGGCACUCCCGUCCGGCUGCCGCUGCCGCACGACGUGGUCUUCGACAUCCUGUCGUGGGUGCCGGUGAAGUCGGCGUGCCGGUUCAAAUCCGUGUGCCGGGAGUGGCGCGCCCUCAUCAACGACCCUGCCUUCGUCGCCGCGCACAAGGCUCGCGCGGAGCCGCUCCUCGCCAUCGCCGCCGACUCGUGCGACGAGCCGUCGACCCUGCGGCUCAUCGACAUGGACGGCCACAUCAUCAAGGUGAUCAAAAACUCUCUUCCGAUUUUAAGGCUUGUCUGCAGCAGCCCUGGCAACCUGAUGUGCGUCAUCGGGUAUGCGCUGGGGAUAGCCAGAGUGCUCAACCUUGCAACCGGAGAGGCUGCUGUGAUUGACCUCACAUCUAACUUUAUGGGCUUCGGCCGCGCCGCCCCGUCGGGCGCCUACAAGAUUGUCUGCGUUAGUCCCGGCAGCACCGAGAUCCUCACGGUAGGAGACGGCGUGUGCUGGAGGCAAGCUCAGCCCCUGCCUAGCAGCAGCAUCUCGUAUAACAGCCGCCCUGUCGUGGUCAGGGGUGUCAUGUACUUGAUUUUAGUUUCACAGCUCAAUGGUGACAGCGUGAUCUGCUUCGAUCUUGAGAGCGAGGAGUGGAAGGGGGGGAUCAGAGGCCCGCCGAGUAGCGAACGUCAGCGGUGUGACGCUAGCUUGCAGGAACUCAACGGGGCCCUGUGUAUGCUCCUGCCGGAGGUCGGAAACAUUUACCAUGGAACCAUGAGCAUAUGGCUCCUGAUAGAUUCACGCAAGGGGGUCUGGAUCAAGGUGUACUCGAUCCCCAUGGACCCGUCUGCGUAUAGUCUGAUCACGCCUUUGAGGAUACUAGGUGAUAAUGGUAAACUGCUCUUCCAUGUCACGCUUAGCUUCGACGAAUUCGCGGUGCUGCAAAUCUACGACCCUCGUCAUCGGACAUUCACGGACGCGCCCAAGGUGCUUGCGGGUGACAACGGCGGCAGUAUCAGCCUUUGCAGCUUGCAUCUGGAUAGUUUUCUGCCGGCCAACGUCUAG